AUGGUAGUAACAAAUUCUUAUGGAGCUGAAAGGGAAGAUCCUACUAGGGCACAACCCAACCCAGGGGCUUUGAAUCUGGGAGAAUCAGAGAAGGAGAAUCAGGUAUCAGUCCAAAAGGAGGCAGCAGAAACAUGGGAUUAUCAAGGGGCAGCCCAUAGGUCAAAUCAGACCACAGAGAAUUUUGCUGUGGGGGAGAAUGACCCAGCCUACCAGCAGUAUCAGGAUGCUGCUAACAACCUAAGAGAAGAUUACAAAUUUCACCACACUUUCAGCACUGAGAUAGCAAAGUUCUUGAAAGUCUCCCCAGGGAAGUUGGUUGUGAUGCAGCCUGAGAAAUUCCAGUCCAAGUAUGAGCCCAGGAGCAACGUGAUGGACAUUCGGGGUUCUACAAAGGGCGUGGCCAUCAAGGACUACGUGGUGAAGCACGCCUUGGCCUUGGUGGGCCACCGCAAGACCUCCAACGAUGCAAAGGGGUACAGCAGGCGCCUCCUGGUGGUCGUCUACUACGGCGUGGACUUCAGCUUUGAUUACAGAGCUGCUACUCAGUUUUGGCGGAACAAAGUCCUGGAGGUGGCCAAGGCCUUCCGUGAGUACACCUUCACCAUCGCUGACGAGGAGGACUACGCCACGGAGGUGAAGGACCUGGGGCUCAGUGAGAGCGGGGAGGACGUCAACGUGGCCAUCCUGGACGAGAGUGGGAAGAAGUUCGCCAUGGAUCCAGAGGAGUUUGAUUCCGACAUGCUCCGCGAGUUUGUCGCGGCUUUCAAAAAAGGAAAACUAAAGCAGGUCAUCAAAUCCCAGCCAGUGCCCAAGAACAACAACGGGCCAGUUAAGGUUGUGGUGGGGAAGACCUUCAAUUCCAUCGUGAUGGACCCCAAGAAGGACGUCCUCAUCGAGUUGUAUACGCCGUGGUGUGGGCACUGCAAGCAGUUGGAGCCCGUGUACGCCAGCCUGGCCAAGAAGUACAAGGGCCAGAAGGGCCUGGUCAUUGCCAAGAUGGAUGCCACCGCCAACGAUGUCACCAGCAACCGCUACAAGGUGGAGGGCUUCCCCACCAUCUAUUUCACCCCCAGUGGGGACAAAAAGAAUCCAAUUAAAUUUGAGGGCAGAGAGAGAGAUCUGGAGAAUUUGAGCAAGUUUGUGGAAGAACAUGCCACAAAACUGAGUAGGACCAAGGAAGAGCUUUGAAGGCCAUGAGGUCUGCAGAGGGUAGGGGGGUACCGGACACACCGCAUUCCAGCAGUGGCAGCCAGGGCACCCGCAAC